AGCUCUGUGGUGAAGUUCAUGUCAGGUUGCAAACCUGAAGACGUAGAGUAGUGUCUACCGGGGCUU
rnacentral:tRNA from 2 species